rnacentral:rRNA from 1 species
UACGGGGGGGGGGCAAGCGUUGUUCGGAAUUACUGGGCGUAAAGGGCUCGUAGGUGGCCAACUAAGUCAGACGUGAAAUCCCUCAGCUUAACUGGGGAACUGCGUCUGAUACUGGAUGGCUUGAGUUUGGGAGAGGGAUGCGGAAUUCCAGGUGUAGCGGUGAAAUGCGUAGAUAUCUGGAGGAACACCGGUGGCGAAGGCGGCAUCCUGGACCAAUACUGACGCUGAGGAGCGAAAGCCAGGGGAGCAAACGGG